AGUGAACGCUGGCGGUAGGCCUAACACAUGCAAGUCGAACGGCAGCACAGUAAGAGCUUGCUCUUACGGGUGGCGAGUGGCGGACGGGUGAGGAAUACAUCGGAAUCUACUUUUUCGUGGGGGAUAACGUAGGGAAACUUACGCUAAUACCGCAUACGACCUACGGGUGAAAGCAGGGGAUCUUCGGACCUUGCGCGAUUGAAUGAGCCGAUGUCGGAUUAGCUAGUUGGCGGGGUAAAGGCCCACCAAGGCGACGAUCCGUAGCUGGUCUGAGAGGAUGGUCAGCCACACUGGAACUGAGACACGGUCCAGACUCCUACGGGAGGCAGCAGUGGGGAAUAUGGGACAAUGGGCGCAAGCCUGAUCCAGCCAUACCGCGUGGGUGAAGAAGGCCUUCGGGUUGUAAAGCCCUUUUUUUGGGAAAGAAAAGCAGCAGGUUAAUACCCAGCUGUUCUGACGGUACCCAAAGAAUAAGCACCGGCUAACUUCGUG
rnacentral:rRNA from 1 species